CCUACGGGGGGCAGCAGUAGGGAAUAUUGGACAAUGGGUGCGAGCCUGAUCCAGCCAUGCCGCGUGCAGGAAGAAGGCGUUAUGCGUUGUAAACUGCUUUUGCCAGGGGAUAAAAUAACUGUUCGCAGUUGAUUGAAGGUACCUGGUGAAUAAGCCACGGCUAACUACGUGCCAGCAGCCGCGGUAAUACGUAGGUGGCAAGCGUUGUCCGGAUUUAUUGGGUGUAAAGGCGGCGUAGUAAGCCAUUGGUGAAAUAUCUCAGCUGAACUGAGAGGGUGCCAGUGAUACUGCGGGGCUUGAGUACAGAUGAGGUAGGCGGAAUUGACGGUGUAGCGGUGAAAUGCAUAGAUAUCGUCAAGAACACCGAUAGCGAAGGCAGCUUACCAAGCUGUAACUGACGCUGAGGCACGAAAGUGUGGGGAUCAAACAGGAUUAGAUACCCCUGUAGUC
rnacentral:rRNA from 1 species